rnacentral:rRNA from 1 species
AACGAACGCUGGCGGCAGGCCUAACACAUGCAAGUCGAACGCCCCGCAAGGGGAGUGGCAGACGGGUGAGUAACGCGUGGGAACCUACCUAGUGGUACGGAACAACUCGGGGAAACUUGAGCUAAUACCGUAUACGCCCUGAGGGGGCAAGAUUUAUCGCCAUUAGAUGGGCCCGCGUCGGAUUAGCUAGUUGGUGAGGUAAUGGCUCACCAAGGCUUCGAUCCGUAGCUGGUCUGAGAGGAUGAUCAGCCACACUGGGACUGGGACACGGCCCAGACUCCUACGGGAGGCAGCAGUGGGGAAUAUUGGACAAUGGGCGCAAGCCUGAUCCAGCCAUGCCGCGUGAGUGAUGAAGGCCUUAGGGUUGUAAAGCUCUUUCGCUAGGGAAGAUAAUGACGGUACCUAGAGAAGAAGCCCCGGCUAACUUCGUGCCAGCAGCCGCCGUAAUAC